GCUGUCUUCUGAUCAUGUAUGGAUUUCAAGGUCAUUAUGAGUUGCUCGCGCUGAUCCUCCACUUCUGCAUAUUUAAGACUUAUGUUCAGUUUGUAUGUCUGUCUGUGUCCAUGUCCCACGCCAUGUCUAAACUACUAAAGCUGCAUUCAAGAAUGAGAUCCAGG